UCUCUUUCUCUUCAUCCUGCUCUCUUCUCUACAGAGCUGUCAUUUGAUCCCAGGAAGAGGACACCAGCGGAAGGCAUCCUUGAUAAGCAAUCCUGUCCGAAGAUUUAUAAGGACCUUUGAUGUAUUUCUUCAACAACUGGAAUCACUGUUGCCAAAUAAAGGGUCAGUUAAUCGGAUAAUUCUAAUUCUGUAUUUUGAUCAAGAUCUUGCUUUCCACUGACUUAGUUAGGUCCGUUGAGCUUUGGAGCCACACGCACCCCUUUUGUUGUUAAAUCCCAGAGCUCCUGUUCCCAAGACUGCACCUUUGCAUUUUGAGCACACACUGACUCAGAGACAACUAGGCACGCAUCCCCUCCGGGGUCCUCAUGGGGGAGCUGUCAUCUUCCAACCACAUAACCAUAGCAUGCCAUUGCAGUGGCAACCCCGCAGGCGGGCCCCCCUCUAAAGGCCGCCCAGCCCCCGCGACGCCCCGGCUCAGCUGCAGGCAGCGACACUCCGGAGCCGGCUGCCGGGUUGGGUCUCCUGCUCUCGGCGGGGGAGCAGGAGCGCGCCCGCCCACGCCCACGCCCACGGCCCCCACACUCGUGAGCGCACACCCCGGCGCGCGCACGCCCGCACACCAGGGCGCACGCACAGCACACCGGGGCCACAGACGGGCUCUGAGCGGCUGCGAGUGGGGACGCAGCCGGAUUCCC
rnacentral:lncRNA from 1 species